rnacentral:rRNA from 1 species
UGGGGAAUAUUGGACAAUGGGCGAAAGCCUGAUCCAGCAAUACCGAGUGAGUGAUGAAGGCCUUAGGGUUGUAAAGCUCUUUUCAGCAGGGAAGAUAAUGACGGUACCUGACCAAGAAAGCCCCGGCUAACUCCGUGCCAGCAGCCGCGGUAAGACGGAGGGGGCUAGCGUUGUUCGGAAUUACUGGGCGUAAAGAGUGCGUAGGCGGUUUAGUAAGUUGGAAGUGAAAGCCCGAGGCUUAACCUCGGAACUGCUUUCAAAACUACUAAUCUAGAGUGUAGUAGGGGAUGAUGGAAUUCCUAGUGUAGAGGUGAAAUUCUUAGAUAUUAGGAGGAACACCGGUGGCGAAGGCGGUCAUCUGGGCUACAACUGACGCUGAUGCACGAAAGCGUGGGGAGCAAACAGGAUUAGAUACCCGCGUAGUCC